rnacentral:lncRNA from 1 species
UGGGGUCAGACGGGAAGCGGCGACGGGAUGCUGGUGGGGGGACCCCCGCGCUCUCCGGGCGACCCUCUGCAGCCUCUACUCUGCCCCGUCUGUCAUCUUCUCCCGACCCGGCGACCCCGUUCUCCCCCUCGCCCCUCAUUCCCCGGGACUGUCCUUCUUAACAGCGCCCUUCACCCCGCCCGGCCCGCGAGGUAGUCCUCAGCAGGGGACAAGGUCCGGACGUGGCGCCCCCAGAAGGAGCGCGGAGAGCCCCUGGGACCCAGUCCCGCCAGGUUGUGAUGUUUUCCUAAUUA